AAUAAUAGUAUACCCGUUGUAGUAUCUUAUCGGUAUUAUUCUGGCAUAUUCCUAGGGAUCAUUUAAUGCUUCCCAGUAUAUACUUUUUCCCCUAAACGGACAAUGACAAAUGCCCUCAGAUUCAAUCUCUGCUUCACUGCUGUCUCAGAAGCCAUGAUUGAACUCUCUCUUUAUCUUUUUCUGCGCCUAAAGUUGCCUGUGAAGAUAAUGGCAGAGGAAGAGCCCCGAGGGACCAUCAUUUCAAGACAAAGAUCGCUGCUUACUUUUGAUCCAGGUAUUCAGUGAGAUGAAGAUUUGGACAGGAAAUACUGUAUUUCCAUCGCUCCGAUCAGGAGGUUUUACGGGUAUAUCUUCUAAAACUCACGUUGUUGAUGGUGUUGUAUGAGUUAAAUGAGCAUAUUUAAGAAGAAAACGGAACGGAACAUCCCGGCUGUUAUAGGUUUUCGAAAUUGCUGUACUCAUUAUCAUUAUCUUCCUGUUGAGAAUCUCCAUCUUGCUUCUCACUUGUGUUUAUAACUUUUUCAGUCACGUUGUUAAUGGUGUUGUAUGGUUGAUGGAAGGAUUUUUCCAAUGAAUUCUGGUGUUGUAUACCUUAUGAAAGGAUUUUCCAGUGGAUCUUAUUGUAAGAGAAUUCAUCUGGAUUAUGCAAGGUCAGUAUAGAUCUAGUGUUCCAUGGACAAAAAAAAUGUCUGUAUGGAUCCGAUGUUCCAUGGACCCUGAAACUGUAUGUGCUUGGAUCUUAAUAUAUUGUAUAAAGAAGAAAAGAGCGAUAUUGUUCACAAAAUUUA